CAGUGAUUGUCAAAGAUUGCUGUAGACAUGACCAUAAAAAAAUUCCCACUGGGUUUUCUACGUGCUGCAUUGCCAGCAAGCAACCUGUUGGGAUCAUUG
rnacentral:snoRNA from 1 species